rnacentral:rRNA from 1 species
AGUGAACGCUGGCGGCAGGCCUAAUACAUGCAAGUCGAACGGCAGCACAGCAGAGCUUGCUCUGUGGGUGGCGAGUGGCGGACGGGUGAGGAAUACAUGGGAAUCUGCCCAGUCGUGGGGGAUAACGUAUGGAAACGUACGCUAAUACCGCAUGCGCCCUACGGGGGAAAGUCGGGGACCGCAAGGCCUGGCGCGAUUGGAUGAGCCCAUGUUCGAUUAGCUAGUUGGCGGGGUAAAGGCCCACCAAGGCGACGAUCGAUAGCUGGUCUGAGAGGAUGAUCAGCCACACUGGAACUGAGACACGGUCCAGACUCCUACGGGAGGCAGCAGUAAGGAAUAUUGGUCAAUGGGCGGAAGCCUGAACCAGCCAUGCCGCGUGAGUGAAGAAGGC